UUAUCAUAUAUCACUGCCGAAGACAGCAGGUGCCGUAUGGCAUAAGGAUGAAACCGCCUGCCGAGGAAUGAUUUUUUCUUUUAGAUAAGAAUCAAUGCGCCCUCUUUGUCCUCGGAUAAAGAGGGCUUUUUCAUUGC
rnacentral:sRNA from 1 species